UCCACUUUUUAUCAUCCUCAUAUUCGUGUUCUCUCUACCAGAGGAGAAGGAGAUGUUGGAGUUGCAGAGUCUUGGGGGUGUUGCUCGUAGAGCUCAUGUGGGUCGGAGAAGAACGAAGCGACGAGGCAGGGCGUCGUUUUGGGAGUGGCGAGGAUGGUGUGGCCCUGACGGACGAGGGUUUUGGCGAGGAAUUGGCCGGAGUUGCCAAAGCCUAUGACGGCGAUCUUGAGAUUGUGGGAGGAUUGGCAUUGGGUGGUGAGGUUGGUUUCGUAUUCGAAGAAUUGGGCGGCGUCUAGGGAUUUGAUUUCGAGGGUACGGCGGCGAAUUGGGGUUGGGGAAAGGUUGGGGCUUUGGGUGUAAAGGUUGAGGCUUUGGGAGUUGAAGAAGAGAAAGUGAGUCUACAGCAAGUAAGAUCGAGUUUUGGAGGGAAUGGGUGGAGAGGUGAGAGAGAUAGCAUUUUGUAGAAGAAGAUUAUGAAGAAAGAGAGGCCUGAUCGACCAAAUUUCUUUAUGGGUUUCAAAUCCACAACUGAGAAUUCUUGGAUUGACUGUGCUUUUACUAGAGGGUAUAUUUUUUUUUUCCUGGGAAUUUGGUGCAGUGAGAAAAAGACUCUGUCUUUAGGAUUAUUCCACUCCGUUUAUGGAGGUUUAGAUUUGAUCUUGCUAGAAGCCUAGGAACAGUGAAAAGAAGUGUCAAGGAAUAUAGCCAAAGAAGAUCAGUUUUUGUUCUUGUUUGUGUUUUAGAAUAAUGAUGAUCUGAAUUAUUCAGACGACGUAAUUCUUCAUUGUAAUGCAUAUUAGCUAAGCUACAUGUUUGGAUACUUUUCUCUGUUAAAACAUUGCUUGAUUCAAUCUGGUAUAAGGUUUUGCUUUGAUUUGAUUGUUAAUCUAUGAGAUUGUACGUGCUUUAUAUAGAAAUAAUGAAAUAUUAAAUAUAGAAAAAAUGAAAUAUUGAAUAUAGAAUUAGUUCUGGGCUAAUGGACUCUUGAAUUGUGAUUAUUGAAUUUGGUAGUCUUUGUUGGAAGUUUUCAUUAAUAAUGUAUGUGGGUUUAGUGUUAGUUAUUAGCAUUAGCUGAUAUGCUUGCAAAACGGAUACAGGCAUUGCUAGCAUGGGUUUUGCAUUGAAUCAGUUGAAUGAAUUGGUGAAGUAGUUUGGCGUUUCUCUAUUAGAUUUCAGGUCUUGGCUGAAAAGUUUCAAUCUUUAGUGUUUAUGUUUAGUUGUGUUUAAUUGCCGGGGUCAUUUUGGUUAUAUUGACAUCGGUUUGCCCGUCUAUAUUCCCUUGUUGUUCAGUGUUCUUUACAAACUUCUACAGAGAACCUGCUUCUUCUGUCAGCAUCAUCGAACAAUCCAAGAGUUUGUAAGUGAAGUUUGGUGGAGUAAACUUAGUGCUUUAUGGGCUUAAUUUGGUGCUUUAAGAAAUUUAUGCCUUGUCCCUUCUCGUUGAUGUUCUAAUUUCUGUACUUUUCUUUUUUUGGGGGUAGUUUAAGGUUGAAAAAUGUCCUUUGGCCUUGCAUUUAAGUAAUGUCCUUUGGAACUUGUGAUGAAAGGUGAUGUUGCAUUGGUAAUAUCUUCUUGUUUCAGAUAGUUGCAUUGGUAAUAUCUUCUUGGUGAUGUUGCCUAACCAGAUAAUUCAACCAGAUAUUACCAAAUUGGAACUCGUGAUGAAAGGUGAUGUUGUGGGGGAAUGAUGGAGAUUUUGCAAAUAUCUUGUUUCAGGUAGUUGCAUAAAAUAUCUUGUUUCAGAUAGUUGCAUAAAAUAUCUUGUUUCAGAUAGUUGCAUGGUAAUAUCUGGUUGAAUCUAGUUAGGCAACAAACAUGUUCAGUGCUUAAUGCUUCUUUCGAUUCCACUUCUGUGAAUCAUUCUAUCACUUUAAUUAGCAAAUAUUUUUGACUUUGAUUUGAAGGUUGUUUUAGACACAUAGAAGCCACUUACAGUUGUGCUAUUAUCAUGCAACUAUUUUCUUGGCUCAUUAGCCUUUGCUUAUUUAGCACAAAUGGGGUGGGGAGAGGGUAGUGGCCAUAGGUUUACAUCUUCAUGUGAAAAAGAAGAAGUAUUUUAAAGAUCAAAAGAGAAGAAAAAAAAAUCCAGCUUUCGUUCUUAAUGGCUCUUAGAUUACUUUGUUAUUAUUCCUCUUACCUUUCUCUGUUUUUUCCUUCCUUUAUUUCUAGGCAUUUUGGAAACAUUCUCUAUGGGUUUUUUUUAUUUAGCACAAGUGACAGACGCCUCAGGAUUCUGAGGUUCUUGGAUAGGAAGAUAUCUACUGUUUAUGUAUAUGUAUUGUUUUUAAUCUUUAAAACCCAUAGACUAGUCUAUAGCCUAUAUUUUCGUUUGCAUUGCUUGGUACUGGAUUUAUUGUUGUAGACUGGUGCCGGCAAUGCUAGAGAAAAUGUUAUCAGAGGAUGCAAGCUGGUAGACCUUUAACUGUCCAAGAAGAGGGUGAAUCUUGUGGUGAUGAUGUUGAUGCAGGCAUAUCUGAUAUAUCCUGUGCUUCCUCUCUUGUGACUCAAGAUACUGCAACGAAGAAGAGCAAAGGACAAGAGAGCACAGUGCCGGGUGAGUUCUUUAAGCAGAAAAAAUCCUUCUCGGGAGAUCUUUUGCCAACCGAGGAAUAGAUAGGUUGGCUCAAGAAUUGUCUAAGCCCGCCUGCGACAGUUGAACUGGAACACUAUAUUAGUCGGUUCAUCGAUCUACCUGUAGGACAGUGUGAUAGGGUCGAGCAAGGAAGAUAGGAAAGGAAACAUGGAAUUGGAAUUUAAGUCAAAAUCCAGUUUAUGGAAGUCCAGAGGACGGGGGGUGUGUUGCUGAAAAAUUUGUUCAGGUGGAUUGGCUACAUUGACUGUAAACUUAGCUGUUUGCAGAUGGAGCAACUGUAAUUUGUGUUCCACUGGGUCCUCUACAAGGCCUGAGAAUUUUUCGAGGCAAACAGGAUUUGUUUUCAAGAGACAGUUACGUGUUUGAUAAUUUCUCAAGUCUCAUCCUUUAUAUGGUCAAAAGAGUCCAAUAUAACACUUAAAUAUAAAAUUAUACAUAACAAGCAAUGUUCAUGAACAUGAUCAAUCCAUACUAGUGAGCAUGACAAUGGAAUCUUCUGGAAACUUGUACUUGCUAAUAAGGAGAUGCCUCAUUGAUGGAACCCUUGAGCUCAUGGCUCUUGUAUCUAUACAAUAUCCCGUAGAUCACAGCCUUCUUCCGCCUGUGCACGUUCGGCGGGGGUCCUGGUCAUCUGUAGGGGAAGCUGGCGUGUGGUAGUGGGUUUAUAAGGACACAGUAGGGUACAGCACUAUAGGGGGAGCGGGGGAAGCCUGGAGAGGCGACUCGGGUACUGGCAUAGCAGCGGCAGCAGCGGACAGAUAUCGGACUCACAGAAGGCAGCGGGAUUUGGGUCUGGCAAUAGCAACAGUCGACCACUAGCUAGUAGUCGUUGGCCUCCAUAAUUGCUCAUCAUCAUGGAAUCUGGAGGAGAAGUGCAUGCACAAGUUGAAGGGGAGUGAAUGCUUGAAUUUAAGGAUUUUUGAAACGAACAGAGAGAGAUGGAUACUGGGGACAUGAGCUGGCCCAUGCGAUGCUGGGAAUCAAAUUCUUCUUAUCAAAUUCAUAUUGAUAAUGAAACCGACAACAACGGCGAUGCGGGGCUGUAUCUAACUAUCUAUUGCGGCCGGCAUAGUUGCGGACCUUUAAAUAUUAACAGUUACAUUUUGAUUAUAUAUAUUAGUAGGACUCACUGUGAAGAGAAGUUAAAAGUAGUGGAAAAAC